UGGGGAAACCCAGCAUGAGUUAUGUCAUGUUAUCGAUAUGUGAAUACAUAGCAUAUCAGAAGGCACACCCGGAGAACUGAAACAUCUUAGUACCCGGAGGAAGAGAAAGAAAAUUCGAUUCCCUUAGUAGCGGCGAGCGAAACGGGAAGAGCCCAAACCAACAAGCUUGCUUGUUGGGGUUGUAGGACACUCUAUACGGAGUUACAAAGGACGACAUUAGACGAAUCAUCUGGAAAGAUGAAUCAAAGAAGGUAAUAAUCCUGUAGUCGAAAAUGUUGUCUCUCUUGAGUGGAUCCUGAGUACGACGGAGCACGUGAAAUUCCGUCGGAAUCUGGGAGGACCAUCUCCUAAGGCUAAAUACUCUCUAGUGACCGAUAGUGAACCAGUACCGUGAGGGAAAGGUGAAAAGCACCCCGGAAGGGGAGUGAAAUAGAACCUGAAACCGUGUGCUUACAAGUAGUCAGAGCCCGUUAAUGGGUGAUGGCGUGCCUUUUGUAGAAUGAACCGGCGAGUUACGAUUUGAUGCAAGGUUAAGCAGUAAAUGUGGAGCCGUAGCG
rnacentral:rRNA from 1 species